GAAGAGUUACCACAUGAAUAACUGGCUUGGGGCGGCCAAGCGUUUAUAGCGACGUCGCUUUUUGAUCCUUCGAUGUCGGCUCUUCCGAUCAUUGUGAAGCAGAAUUCACCAAGCGUUGGAUUGUUCACCCACUAAUAGGGAACAUGAGC